AACUCUCAACAACGGAUAUCUUGGCUCCCGUAUCGAUGAAGAACGCAGCGAAAUGCGAUACGUCGUGUGAAUUGCAGAAUUCCGUGAACCAUCGAAGUUUUGAACGCACCUUGCGCCCGAGGCUUCGGCCGAGGGCAUGUCUGCCUCAUCGUC
rnacentral:rRNA from 1 species